rnacentral:rRNA from 1 species
UACAGAGGUCUCAAGCGUUGUUCGGAUUCAUUGGGCGUAAAGGGUGUGUAGGUGGCGCUGUAAGUCGGGUGUGAAAUCUCGGGGCUUAACUCCGAAACUGCAUUCGAUACUGCGGUGCUUGAGGACUGGAGAGGAGACUGGAAUUCCUGGUGUAGCGGUGAAAUGCGCAGAUAUCAGGAGGAACACCGGUGGCGAAGGCGGGUCUCUGGGCCGUUACUGACGCUGAGGAGCGAAAGCGUGGGGAGCGAACAGG